rnacentral:lncRNA from 1 species
CACUACACUUUAGCACACACAACCUGCCGCCGGACCUGGGCCGCAUAGGAUCACUUAGGAUGGUGUUGAGGUGGAUACCACUCCGACUACAAGCAUGUAGUACGAGUCGCCCAUCUCAACCCCGAAAUUUCUUUCUUGAUGUCAAAGGUCCCCACCCUGGUCUGCGAGCAUGCGACACGGGUCGGUCCUUUGAUGAAGCCGGAGUCAUGGGUAACACGACCUAGCCACGAGCU